GCCAGCAUGGUGUAGUGGUUUGAGUACUGGACUAUGACUCUGGAGACCAAGGUUCAAAUCCCAGCUUGGCC